CGAAUGCUGACAUAAGUAACGAUAAAGCGGGUGAAAAGCCCGCUCGCCGGAAGACCAAGGGUUCCUGUCCAACGUUAAUCGGGGCAGGGUGAGUCGACCCCUAAGGCGAGGCCGAAAGGCGUAGUCGAUGGGAAACAGGUUAAUAUUCCUGUACUUGGUGUUACUGCGAAGGGGGGACGGAGAAGGCUAUGUUGGCCGGGCGACGGUUGUCCCGGUUUAAGCGUGUAGGCUGGUUUUCCAGGCAAAUCCGGAAAAUCAAGGCUGAGGCGUGAUGACGAGGCACUACGGUGCUGAAGCAACAAAUGCCCUGCUUCCAGGAAAAGCCUCUAAGCAUCAGGUAACAUCAAAUCGUACCCCAAACCGACACAGGUGGUCAGGUAGAGAAUACCAAGGCGCUUGAGAGAACUCGGGUGAAGGAACUAGGCAAAAUGGUGCCGUAACUUCGGGAGAAGGCACGCUGAUAUGUAGGUGAAGUCCCUCGCGGAUGGAGCUGAAAUCAGUCGAAGAUACCAGCUGGCUGCAACUGUUUAUUAAAAACACAGCACUGUGCAAACACGAAAGUGGACGUAUACGGUGUGACGCCUGCCCGGUGCCGGAAGGUUAAUUGAUGGGGUCAGCGCAAGCGAAGCUCUUGAUCGAAGCCCCGGUAAACGGCGGCCGUAACUAUAACGGUCCUAAGGUAGCGAAAUUCCUUGUCGGGUAAGUUCCGACCUGCACGAAUGGCGUAAUGAUGGCCAGGCUGUCUCCACCCGAGACUCAGUGAAAUUGAACUCGCUGUGAAGAUGCAGUGUACCCGCGGCAAGACGGAAAGACCCCGUGAACCUUUACUAUAGCUUGACACUGAACAUUGAGCCUUGAUGUGUAGGAUAGGUGGGAGGCUUUGAAGUGUGGACGCCAGUCUGCAUGGAGCCGACCUUGAAAUACCACCCUUUAAUGUUUGAUGUUCUAACGUGGACCCGUGAUCCGGGUUGCGGACAGUGUCUGGUGGGUAGUUUGACUGGGGCGGUCUCCUCCUAAAGAGUAACGGAGGAGCACGAAGGUUGGCUAAUCCUGGUCGGACAUCAGGAGGUUAGUGCAAUGGCAUAAGCCAGCUUGACUGCGAGCGUGACGGCGCGAGCAGGUGCGAAAGCAGGUCAUAGUGAUCCGGUGGUUCUGAAUGGAAGGGCCAUCGCUCAACGGAUAAAAGGUACUCCGGGGAUAACAGGCUGAUACCGCCCAAGAGUUCAUAUCGACGGCGGUGUUUGGCACCUCGAUGUCGGCUCAUCACAUCCUGGGGCUGAAGUAGGUCCCAAGGGUAUGGCUGUUCGCCAUUUAAAGUGGUACGCGAGCUGGGUUUAGAACGUCGUGAGACAGUUCGGUCCCUAUCUGCCGUGGGCGCUGGAGAACUGAGGGGGGCUGCUCCUAGUACGAGAGGACCGGAGUGGACGCAUCACUGGUGUUCGGGUUGUCAUGCCAAUGGCACUGCCCGGUAGCUAAAUGCGGAAGAGAUAAGUGCUGAAAGCAUCUAAGCACGAAACUUGCCCCGAGAUGAGUUCUCCCUGACCCUUUAAGGGUCCUGAAGGAACGUUGAAGACGACGACGUUGAUAGGCC
rnacentral:rRNA from 1 species